GACGAACGCUGGCGGCGUGCUUAACACAUGCAAGUCGAACGGUAAGGCCCCUUCGGGGGUACACGAGUGGCGAACGGGUGAGUAACACGUGAGCAACCUGCCCUCGACACUGGAAUAACAGUUGGAAACAGCUGCUAAUGCCGGAUAUGACCUUCGGUGGCAUCACCUGGAGGUGGAAAGUGCUUAGCGGUCAAGGAUGGGCUCGCGGCCUAUCAGCUAGUUGGUGAGGUAACGGCUCACCAAGGCUUCGACGGGUAGCCGGCCUGAGAGGGCGACCGGCCACACUGGGACUGAGAUACGGCCCAGACUCCUACGGGAGGCAGCAGUGGGGAAUAUUGCACAAUGGGCGCAAGCCUGAUGCAGCAACGCCGCGUGCGGGAUGACGGCCUUCGGGUUGUAAACCGCUUUCAGUUCCGACGAAGCGCAAGUGACGGUAGGAACAGAAGGAGGACCGGCCAACUACGUGCCAGCCGCCGCCGUAAAAC
rnacentral:rRNA from 1 species